rnacentral:rRNA from 1 species
GUCACCACGUCAUCCCACAUGCUCGUUCGGACAGAAACCAGCCGCUUGAACGCCCACCCUCCUCCUCUGUCUCGCCUUUUCUACUCCACUCCUUCCACCUCACCCACUCGAGCUAAUCCCCCGACCGCCUGUAAUCCGGCUAGGACCAGCGGAUCCCAGUGAGGGCUUCGCUAGAUGCACGGUGGGGAGGAGCCCAGACGGCGAUAGAUGGUUGGGGAGGCGGGCGGUGGUGGGCGGGGGCGACCAGAAAUUGGAUCCAACAGACGGAGAUAGAAGGUUCAGUUUUCCCCGCCAUCAGGCGCUCCGCGGUGCGAGGUCGUGAGCUCUGCCCUGGGAACAGCGGCGGUGGGCGCGACUGGGGUUCCUGGCGCGGUUUGGCCUCCGCGGUGGACGCCGACGCGGGACGGAGCUGGUUGUCCCUGAUGGCAAGCACCACAUGGCGGCGAACUGCUCCGGUUCCCUGGCACGGAGGAGACACCGACGGGGGACGAAGCUGGUCGACUCCGAUGGAAGCACCAUACGACGGAGAACUUCCGCGGUUUCGGGCGAGAUGGAGCGGCAGACAUGACCAUUGGCGACCUCCACCUUCUCCCACACCCACUCUUGCUCAAGCUCCAGCUCAUCCCAAGCCCCUCCGCUUCCACUGCCGCCGGGAGGCUCCCGUUGAGACGCAGCCCAAGUCGGCGUCGGUGGAUCCCUUUCCCGUUGCGUCCAACAAGUCAGCUCUACUGCCUCUGCUCUAGUGGCAGCCGCCAUGGCCGAAC